ACAGUUACGAUGUCAGAUCCUAUCUUGCGCAUCAAAUGGAUUCCUGUGCAUGCUACCUAUCGUAAAGGUAUGAUGCCUAUCGUUGACCCUUUCCUUCCUUGACUCUUGCGGUCAAGGAGGACAUCAUAGUAGCGCUUGUGCGCCUCGCCUUGUGCAUGCACUCUGCGACGGUUUGCGGGUUGUUGCUUGUUGCUUUGGAUACGGURCAUAUUGUGGGCUUAGGGAGGGUCUUUGUACCCUCAUUGUCCGAAAUUCCAAGCGUUUUGUCGCUAGACACGCACGACCGUCAUGAUCGUUCCGGGUUUUCCCGUGCGAGCUUGGCGUCGGCAAAGGA
rnacentral:misc_RNA from 1 species